CAGCCGCCGCGGUAAUACCGGCGGCCCGAGUGGCGGUCACUAUUAUUGGGCUUAAAGCGUCCGUAGCCGGGUUGGGAAGUCCUCCGGGAAAUCUGGCCGCUUAACGGUCAGAAUGCCGGAGGAUACUCCCAGCCUAGGGAGCGGGAGAGGCCGAGGGUAUUCCCGGAGUAGGGGUGAAAUACUAUAAUCCCGGGAGGGCCACCUGUGGCGAAGGCGCUCGGCUGGAACGCGUCCGACGGUGAGGGACGAAGGCCAGGGGAGCAAACCGGAUUAGAUACCCGGGUAGUCCUGGCUGUAAACGAUGCGGACUUUGUGUCGGACAAGCUAUGAGCUUGUCCGGUGCCGGAGGGAAACCGUUAAGUCCGCCGCCUGGGGAGUACGGCCGCAAGGCUGAAACUUAAAGGAAUUGGCGGG
rnacentral:rRNA from 1 species